rnacentral:lncRNA from 1 species
CACUAAGGCGCAAGGCAGCUGCACAUCCACGGCCAGCCUCGUUGUCUUCAGGGAUUUGUUCAAAGUUCAUUCUGAAUUGUAAGGUAACCACUGCAGAACACGAGCCUUUCCUGGGUAUGUGUGGUUAUUUCUGCCCUUCACGGUCCCACUCAAGUCCUGCCUCCCUCAGGGAGACCUCCCAGACCUCACCAAGCCGUGGGCACGUGGACCAGAAGCCGUGGACCCCAGAGGCUCAUUUAGGGAUCUGCUUUCUGAACCCAGGUCCUAACAUCUGCACUGCAGCGAGCAUUUCUGGUGCCUCAAGUGAGUCACUCCAACUUCCAGGAGCCACCAGCCACAGGCAGCCACUGAGCCCUUGGCAUGUAACCCGGUAACCCAUGCAACAGAAGACCUGAGCGUCCAGUGUUGCUAGCUUGAAGUAACUUCAGUGGUGUUCCCCAGCGUUUUUCUCAUCCCCCUCCCUUCCCUUCCCCUACAGCUUUCUUCCUCUUUCCCCUCCUUCUGAGUCUUUCGUCCCCAGUCCUGGGAACCUUUUUUCUGACUUGGUGUUUUCUCCUGAAUGCCUCCUUCCUGGCCCCCUAAUCAGAAAUGCAGAAGCCACCUGCCCCACACAGGGGGCCACUUUCCCUGCAUCUGGCACUCACCAGGACAGUCAUAGAACUGGCCUUGGGUGCUUGGGGAGAGUGGAGAGGUCUGGGGGGCAUCCACUGGCCUCAGCCUCAGAGCUUCUCAUCAGUAACCCAGGAGGCAAAGGCCCAGCUCAAGAUUAGCCCAGGCCACUGUAUCUGUGCCAAGACCUACAGCUGUCCCUGCAGGGCGUGCAUCUCUGCAGCCCAGGCUAUCACAAUGGUGUCCCUUUUGGUGGGGAUGUGAGGCCUGCUGCUGCCUGGGAAGAAGCUGACAGGAUUGUUGGUGCUGUGGGGAGAAGCUGGUGUAACUGAGACCCAUGAGGGAGGCCCUUUGUGGGUCUGUGGCUGGGAGGAGCUCUGGGGAAGAUGGGCCUUGAGAAAUCCCAGCUUAGCACCUUUGACAGUUGCUCCACUGAGUCACCCUAGACUGCAAUCUCACAGAUGUUCUAACCACCCUCUCCCUGGGGAGCCCUUGGGGGUGCUGCAAGCCCAGUCCUCACUCACUGGCUUUGUGCUUCUCUUCCCGACUUCCUUUUUUUGCUCCUGUUGAGAAAUGUGGGUCCAGGGCUGCGUGCUCCAGUGUGCGGAAGGAAGGGCAGCGUGCUCUUUGGACUGAGCUGGCUCAAGGGAAGCUGGGUCUGAGGGGAGACUGACCUCGACCCUUCUUAAAUGAAACACCUUUUCCCUGCGUCUCAGUCACCGUUACCUGGCCUGAUCACUGUGUGCCACACCCCAUCACAUCCAUCCCCACAAGAAUGCCAGGAGGAGGGGUCAUUGGCCUUUUUGUCAGCACAAACCUCUGGAGGCCCAGCUCCCAAGACCCGCCAGGCACACCUGCCAGAGUGCCUUAACUUGGGAUGUCUGCAAACCUCUGUCCAUGGCCGAACCCACCCCACUGCCUGUUACUGUAAAUAAAGGUCUAUUAGCAUGCCACCAUGCCCCUCCUCCGAUGCAUACAGUGCCCAGCUCAGCACCUGGUGCAAGUAAGCACAAUCUGGCUUCCAGCCAUCACUGCUGUUGCUACUAACACAAAUAUUAGGCCCCUUCUAGAAUGCAAAGAUAACCCAGGGCUGCUCGUUCUGUGUCCAGAUCACAGAGUUUUUCUUUUUAUCCUUAUCAACUUUAUUGAGGGAUAAUUUACAGGCAAUAAAUCAUAUCCAUUUAAAGUUAUUGUCAAGCUUUUAAAGAAUUAAAGUUCGUCUUCUUCAGAAGCUUACCGAGGACUACAGGCUGUGGCGUAGAGCCCUGGAGCAGCCUCCACUGAGGUUCUGUAUUUCAGGUCACAGUUGACAUAUAGGUGGGAGGUCCAGUACGUGCAAAGUCACAUGAAAGCUUGGGUGUCAGAGUGCAUCAGGUUAUGGAUUCAAUUACAGAGCAAUAAUCACUGACCCUGUCAGAUGUUAUCUUACGUGUAGGAAAAGGUAAGACCAGGGCCAUUUAUCUGCAAAGAAUAUAGUGACUCAGGCAAGAGUCCGGAGAGGGUGUGUGCUCCAUCCUGUUUUGUCUUCAGAGCAUCUUUCUGGGGAGCUGCACAUCGUUAUAGAGACAGGCACUUUGUGAAAUUCUGCUGCCAAGCACAAAUGAGCAAACGUGGUUUCCUAUGUUUACUACUUUGUCUCACAAAGCGCACAUUCACAGUGCAUUAUUAAGGGGCCCUGGCAGCACCGCCACAGUGUAUCUCUGCUCCCUCUUAAAGUUCCCCGUGCCCCUUGGCAGACAGGCCCCUCUCACUCCUGGGCCCAGGCUACCAUUGACCAGCUUUUUGCCACUAGAGGUUAAUUUUCAUUCUAUGUGAUUGGAAUCAUACAGAUGUUCUUGUAUCUGACUUAUUUCACUCCACAUAGUGAUUCUGAGAUUCAAAUGUUGUGUGUAUCAGUUGUUUGUUCCUUUUUAUUCCUGAAUGGGAGAGGGGAUGUCAAGCUGCACAGUUUUAUUCCUGGGCUACAGUGGAGAUGGAUGGUUCUACCGUCUCUCUGAAACACCAUCUGCAGUUUCUUCAAAAUCUACCUACACAUCUUCCAUCCCAUCCUGAGGAGUCCCCGAGGGUUGAGAAAUGCAUGACCCCACACCUGGCUGACGUGUACAACUGGCGGAGUUAGUUUUUCCUGUUGACACUGGCCACGGGCGCCUCAGCAUGCACAGCCCUGGCCUUGCUCCUCUAGGCAUGCUGGGGGCUUGUCCACACGUGUGGUCUACGGAUGGAGGAGAGUGGCCUCUGGCCCAUGCGUGCCAUGCACUGGACCUUCCCAGGGAAUCAAGUUACAUGAUGUUUCCUUGAGGAGCUACAUACAAAGUAAAAAACUGAAAUCAAGAAUAUCAGUCAUUUCUGAAUAUGCCAAUUCGCCCAUGGUGCAGUUUGUACAGCUUAAUCACUGCAGAACAGUUUUGAGGAUAAAAUUAACCAAAAACCUAAGUAGACAAAAUAUUCAAAUUUUUGGAAUCUGUCACAAAAAUCCACAGAUGACUUAUUUUCCAUUGUAGCUUAUAAUGUCCAAAAGCCUUUCUAGUGACUUAUAACUGAUGGUGAGCUCCCACUCUGUGGCAGCUGUGGGACACUGGUCUAAGGACUACACCCUGAUGCCUGGUGAGUUACAGAGGCCAUGAGAAGAUGUCAGUGAACCUGAAAGCCAGGGAGAGGCUGUGUUCCUGCCGGACUGUGGGGCUCCUUCGCUCCCCUGCUGUGGCCCUUGGUCAGGCCACUUUCCCUCUCUGGGUGUCAGUGGCUUCAUCUACGAAGUGAUAAAAAACUAAUGCAAACCAGAGCAAAAUGAGAUAACACGGGGACCCCUAAUGUCCCAGGGAGAUGGUGAACUGAAGCACCGCGUGCGGUGAGUUGUUGCUGUCUCCACCCCUCAAGGAGACCGCAGCUUUGCAGACGUGUGGGUCCCAUCAUCGGCCCCAUUCUACAUUCCUCCCUGUGUCCCUGCCAUCGCCAGGUGACUUUGCUGGGCCCUCCCACCGCCCUAACUCCCAAUCCCAAGAUCUUCAGUGAACGUGACGCGCACAGCAGAGGCCCAGAAUGUAUGUGUGCAUGUGGUGACAGCUAAGCCUGCCUGGAGCAGAGCCCCAACCCUGCAGCAGCUCAAACAAGCUGAGAUCAGCAAAUGCACAUCUGACUCUCAGACAUGGGGGCAAUAAUAAUAAAUGCUGUUUGAGUUUUGGGGUCUUUGGCUACACAGCAAUUGCUCACCAAUAUGACAGGGUUGUAUGACGUGGCCAUGCGGAACUGUAUUAUAGGGGAAGUGGUGAACAGUGUGAUGAGAUUUUAAAGAGGAACAGAUUUACCACUGACUUUAGAAAUCAUGGAGGAGAAAUCUCUGGGGUUGCCCUUGAAGGGUGUGUGGAGGAGGACAUGGGAGAAGGGGGAAGAACCGUGGCAUCCUGGCUAAACAGACACAGGGCAGAGGGAGCCUCUGUGUUGGGACUAAGAUGGGGAUGUCGGGGAAGGGACAUGGCAAGCUGACUGUUGGUGGGGAAGGCACGUGUGGGGCUAUAUUGUGAUCAUUGUGAUGUAUAUACAUUGUCACCUCCUACUGUCUCUGAGUCCGGCUGUCCCAAGCCCCCGCCGUGGAAUCCAGCAGUGUUCGGGCCAACUCUCAGAACCUUGGCUUUGUCUGGGGGACCCCUCCCAGACCACUUCACCUGCAAGCCCUCC